rnacentral:rRNA from 1 species
AAUUAAGCUAAGUGGAAAAGGAAGUCAAAAUUCAUAAACAACUAGGAUGUUGGCUUAGAAGCAGCCAUCAUUUAAAGAGUGCGUAAUAGCUCACUAGUCUAGUUUUUUGGCGCCGCAAGUAUAACGGGGCUAAGCUUAAUACCGAAUUUUUGGAUUCAAAAUUUUUUAAAGAUUAUGAGUGGUAGACAAAUGUUGUAUAAGGGUUGAAGUUUGAGCGAGAGCACAGAUGGACUUUAUACAAGUAAGAAUUCCGGCGUAAGUAACGAAUGAAAGUGAGAAUCUUUCUAGCCGAUUGAUCAAGGUUUCCGGGGCUAGGUUCGUCCUCCUCGGGUUAGUCGAUCCUAAGGUGAGGUCGAAAGACGUAACUGAUGGACAACGGGUUAAUAUUCCCGUACUACCUUGAGUUGUUAAUGGGUGGACAAAAGAGGUUGAGGUAAGAGGAUUAUUGGAUUUCCUUUUAAGUUUCAAAGCAAGCUAGGGAUGAAAAUCACCUUAGCAUACAUUGUGAGGAACGAAUACGAUCUCUGGUGGCGACACUAGAGAAAGUUACUGACAAUCGCUUUUCGAGAAAAGACUCUAAACAUAAACUCAGGGUAUUCGUACCGAAAACGAACACACGUGAUCAAGGAGAAUAUCCUAAGGCUAGCGAGCCAACUACAGUUAAGGAACUCUGCAAAUUAACUCUGUAACUUAGGGAGAAAGAGUGCCCUAUCAGGAAGAUAGGGUCACAGUAAAGAACGAGGGCGGACUGUUUAACAAAAACACAGCUAUAUGCAAAAUUCGAAUAUGAAGUAUAUGUGGCGACACCUGCCCGGUGCCAGAAGGUCAAAGAAGGUUGUUAGGCUAGUUUACUAGCUGAAGCUUCUAACUUAAGCCCUGGUGAACGGCGGCCG